ACACAUGCAAGUCGAGGGGCAGCAUUUUUGAAGCUUGCUUCAAAAGAUGGCGACCGGCGCACGGGUGAGUAACGCGUAUGGAACCAACCCGCAACAGGGGGAUAACCCGGAGAAAUCCGGACUAAUACCGCAUGGUACUCUUUGCACAGAAGUGUGAAGAUUUAAAGAUGCGAAUCGGUUGCGGACGGUCAUGCGUUCCAUUAGCUAGUUGGCGGGGUAACGGCCCACCAAGGCGACGAUGGAUAGGGGUUCUGAGAGGAAGGUCCCCCACACUGGUACUGAGACACGGACCAGACUCCUACGGGAGGCAGCAGUGAGGAAUAUUGGUCAAUGGGCGAGAGCCUGAACCAGCCAAGUCGCGUGAGGGAAGACGGCCCUAUGGGUUGUAAACCUCUUUUAGAUGGGAGUAAAGUGUUCUACGAGUAGGAUAUUGCAAGUACCAUCAGAAUAAGCAUCGGCUAAUUCCGUGCCAGCAGCCGCGGUAAUACGGAAGAUGCGAGCGUUAUCCGGAUUUAUUGGGUUUAAAGGGUGCGUAGGCGGGUGAUUAAGUCAGCGGUGAAAUGCGUCAGCUUAACUGGCGAACUGCCAUUGAAACUGGUUACCUUGAGUGUAGCGGAAGUAUGCGGAAUGCGUGGUGUAGCGGUGAAAUGCAUAGAUAUCACGCAGAACUCCGAUUGCGAAGGCAGCAUACCAUACUAUAACUGACGCUGAAGCACGAAAGCGUGGGUAUCGAACAGGAUUAGAUACCCUGGUAGUCCACGCAGUAAACGAUGAAUACUCACCGUUUGCGAUAUAAUGUAAGCGGUAAAGCGAAAGCGUUAAGUAUUCCACCUGGGGAGUACGCCGGCAACGGUGAAACUCAAAGGAAUUGACGGGGGCCCGCACAAGCGGAGGAACAUGUGGUUUAAUUCGAUGAUACGCGAGG
rnacentral:rRNA from 1 species